AUGAUCGCUAUGAAAUUGUUGUUCUUUUAACCAAAAAAGAGAAGCUAGAAUUAUUAUAAUACAACUUGAUAAAACCUUUUUUCAUCUGUCCAAAAAAAUUUUUUU